rnacentral:lncRNA from 1 species
UAACUUUUGUAUUUGUUUUAAUUUCAAGAAAGAAAUGUUCCAUUAUUAAAUAAUCUUACAGAAUAAAAUAACUAAAAUUAGUCUAUUUAUGUGUUUAUAUAAUAAUAAACGCGAAAUACAAACAAAGUGGCCAAUUGUAACUCUUAUAUUUGUUUUGAUUUCUAGACUCUUCUUUGUAUCACAAAUAUAUUAAUAUCCCGUUUUAAAGGGUUAGAAAAGAAGAAUGAAACGUCUAUUUAUACGCCACAAGUAUGAACAAAGUCGCCAAGUGUUAUCGUGUCUCGAACGUUGAACAAUCCUCGACCCUUCUCCGAUCAUUUUCGGCCAUCGUGGCUUCGGUAUAUAGAGAUACAUAUCGAGAAAAUUAGGUGCAACACCGCGCCACACGUGCCAUCUAUACGACGAACUAUCGAACGAUCAUAGGCGAGGAUGAGCUAGCAAAGCUAGAGAGACAGGAGGAAAGAAGAAAGUUUCCGAGCUAUUGUCACGCGUAUCCAAGAGGCCGAACGAAGGCAAAAUUAGUUGAAAACUGUUGCUUCUGCUCUUGAAAGCGAUCGUUGAAAGAUAGAUAAGUUCAAGUGGCUAUGGAUAUAUCCUCGAUCGUCUCUCUCUUCUGGAUCGUGCAAGAUUGUGAUAAUUAAAAGUGAACGACGAUGACGUAAAAUGUCUAUUGAAGUGUUUAGUUUAUCGACGAUGCUCAUCGAUAGAUGCGCGAAUAUAUUACGAAUUUUUUCUUCUCUUCGAUUUCCUAUUGCAAGAUCGGUGAACGUUUGCGCGAUAUCCUCGACCCGGCUUCAAUUCUUGGCAACAUAACGCCGCGUCGGUUGUAAAACACGAGUCGCUCGUAAAAACGAGUCGAAAUCGCGCAGAGUGAUCUCUCACGUGCGGUAAAACAACAAAAUUCGCUUUUAGCACGAGGAUAACAAACGUCUGGCGUUCCACAUUGGUGUUUUCUUUUUAGCGAACACGCAUCGACAUUUUUAAGAAGAUUCGAGUUCUCUUAAGUAUUUCGAUAUUGAAACCAAUGAUUUUUAUUAAAAAAUAAAAAAGAAAAUAUUUUCAAACUUAAUUUGUAUAAUUAAUUGAAAGCAAAAUUGUAACAAAUUUAAUUGUUUUUUUAAUUUUCUGAUGAUACGCAUUUGCAGAAUAAUCUUCAAAGCAAGAUUGAAACUGAUCGAAGAUAAAAAAGUAUAUACAAUAGAACGGAACCUAACCUAACUUAAUCACUAUAUUCGUUAAAAAAUUAUAAUCCGUUUCUCGAGGACGGAAGAAUACGAAUUAACAAAAAAAGAAAUUCCAACCUCCAUGCAAUAAGAAACUUUUAAAUAUUAAAUUUUUGGAUGAACAUCGAAAUAUUUUCUUGUCGAAAAAAUCUUACGAAUAUUAAUCCAACUUGAUCUAAUCUCUAUACUCGUUAUUAUAAUCUAUUUUUGAAGAUAGACAAAAUAAUAUUACAGAAUAUCAAUUUUUUCAAUAUUAACAAAAAAAAAAUCGAUUUUCAGUCUCAGAAAAUAAAUAAAAUCCUAAGCAAAUAUCUAACUUUUGUCGAAAAGUUGUGAUUCAUGCAAAAAGAAACUUUCGAUUACGAAUAUUGAAUUUUUGAAACGAAUAUCGAUUUUCUUUAAAAAAAAAAAAAUGCGACGAAUAUUUGAUUUGAUAAAUGUAGAAGACAAAUACGGAGGUUUUCAUCUACAAUUAACAUCAAUAUAUAACUAAUCCAAUUGAUUUACAUUUUCGUAUAGAGUUACACGGUAUUUUUCAUCAAGAUCAUGAGACAUCCUCGUUUACUUGGCACCAUAUUUCGUAAUUCCUUAGAGACUGGCGAGCCGCCAAUCCUUUUUGCCCGUCAUUGUGCUAUCUCUUGAAAGACAGAUGCAUACCUUUCGAUUUGCAUUAACCGUCUUCGAUGUACGACGUUCUUCUUCUAUACUCUUUGUGCAAUAUCUUUUACUUCGUGCAACGGAAGAAGAGCAAAGAAAAAUUCGAACUCGUAAUUAUAACGUAAUUUAUGUUUCUGGAUAUUAAUAUGUUUUUAGAUAUGGAUAAUAUCGUUUUAAAUAUUACAUGAUUUGUAGAUCCUUUAUAAAUAUUUUUAAAUACACGAAGCAAUU